rnacentral:rRNA from 1 species
UGCGUAGGCGGUUUGUUAAGUCAGAUGUGAAAGCCCCGGGCUUAACUUGGGAAUUGCAUUCGAUACUGGUGAGCUAGAGUAUGGGAGAGGAUGGUAGAAUUCCAGGUGUAGCGGUGAAAUGCGUAGAGAUCUGGAGGAAUACCGAUGGCGAAGGCAGCCAUCUGGCCUAAUACUGACGCUGAGGUACGAAAGCAUGGGGAGCAAACAGGAUUAGAUACCCUUGUA